UCAAUUUUGUUGACGGGGGACUGUUUGC
rnacentral:sRNA from 1 species